rnacentral:rRNA from 1 species
AGUAACACGUAGGCAACCUGCCUGUAAGACUGGGAUAACUACCGGAAACGGUAGCUAAUACCGGAUAGGCUUUUUCCUCACCUGAGGGAGAAGAGAAAGACGGAGCAAUCUGUCACUUACAGAUGGGCCUGCGGCGCAUUAGCUAGUUGGUGAGGUAACGGCUCACCAAGGCGACGAUGCGUAGCCGACCUGAGAGGGUGAUCGGCCACACUGGGACUGAGACACGGCCCAGACUCCUACGGGAGGCAGCAGUAGGGAAUCUUCCGCAAUGGACGAAAGUCUGACGGAGCAACGCCGCGUGAGUGAUGAAGGCCUUCGGGUCGUAAAGCUCUGUUGCCAAGGAAGAACAGCCGAGAGAGUAACUGCUCUCGGAAUGACGGUACUUGAGAAGAAAGCCCCGGCUAACUACGUGCCAGCAGCCGCGGUAAUACGUAGGGGGCAAGCGUUGUCCGGAAUUAUUGGGCGUAAAGCGCGCGCAGGCGGUAAUGUAAGUUGGGUGUUUAAGGCAAGGGCUCAACCCUUGUUCGCACCCAAAACUGCAUCACUUGAGUGCAGCAGAGGAAAGUGGAAUUCCACGUGUAGCGGUGAAAU